ensembl:lncRNA
AAAUGACGGAGAGAAGCAAUAUCACCAGCCCAGACCGGCUCCCGCAAGUCAGUGACCCGGAGCUGGAGGCCAUCCGGGUGGACUUCCAGCUGGCGGCAUAUGCGUGUAUGGACCUUGAGAUCCCGAGGCCUGCCCUUUAUAGACGGGUCCUCCAGGCCCAAGCCAGGGCCAUGGGUGGGCUUGCACGCCAGUUCAGGCAGCUGAGGGCUGUCCAGCAGCAGGUGGUUGUGCUGAGGCAGAAGCUGGAGGAAACCACCCAGCAGCUGCACAAGGCCACCCAGCAGCUGGAGGAGGACCUCGAAUUGGCCGUGGCCUUUCCUCUCGGUAAGUGUUGGUGUUUUGUGGUUUGCAUGCUACAGAUAAUGUGUGUUUGUGUGAUAGUAGAUAAUAGAUUAACAUUCAACUGACCACAAGUCUGCUUUUUGAGUGAGUGAAUAUAUUUGUGUUCUUUAUUGAUUGGAUCAAAGAGUGAUAAAAUUAAGAUUUAUUUUUAUCUGUGUCCAUGUGUGCAGUCGCAGAGCAGCAGGCCAGUGGGGAGCCUGGCCAGCAGGAGCAGCAGGCCAGUGGGGAGCCAGGCCAGCAGGAGGAGGAGGAGGAGGAGGAGGAGGAGGAGCAGGAGGAAACUCCAACAAAUUAAACGAAAAUAAUAAAUAAAUUUAUUUAAAAAAUUGAAAUAGUUUCUGUGGUUAUUAAGCAUUUAACACUUUUAUAAAAUAGGAGAUUAAUGUCUAAUGUCUCCAAGUUCGCCUCAUAUUUCCAGAAAUAUUGUACCACAGAAAACACAUCCUAUGUCCUGAUAUGUUGAAGUAUUAGUAAACAAGCUUUAGUUGGCAGUAAAGAUACAGCUGGACAGUAAUACUGUAUUUCUGUGUUUGAAUGGAUGAAGAAGUAUAAAUGAACAUCUAUAUUUAAGUCAUCAAUUUCAGAAUCAUAAAUACUUACAAACAAAUAAUUACUUUUGUUACAACUCCAGAUUAGGGUGGCCCUUUCCUCCACAUCAAACAGGAGGACACUUUGCAUACACGGGACACGCAAGCAGAUAUUUUUUGGUAUGAUCCGGUUUUAUAUUUUAAUGUUUUUCCAGCAGAUUACAUAAAGGUGCAUACACAUACCACAUAGCUAAUAAUAAAUAUACAAGAUACAGCUCAUGACAACUGCCCUUCCAAUUCAGAUUACAUAGGUCUAAUAAACAUCAUACAGAAACUGUUCUUAAUGUUUUUAUCUGGAUAGAUAAAGGGUAAGGUUAAGUUCUCUGUGGCUGAGAGCUUGAUUGACAGCCUGGUGGUAACCUAGCAACUGUGCCUGACGCCUGUUGUGAACACAUGGCUCAUUUGAAUAUUAAAAUUAGCCAUGUGUUGAUAGGUCACCACACGAAAAUUGAGAGUUUUUCAUACAGUCUUGUGUUGUUGACAACACAUAUAACUUUGUAGUGGAAAAUGUAUAUGAAUAUGCUAAAAUUAUUUAAUUUAUAAGUGUCUGUAGCCGUCAUUAAUUUGAUAGUGUUUAUUUAAUGUAAACAAAUCAGUAAGUGAAUGGGGAGGUUGUAAACUGCAAUUUUAUUAAUCAUGAUAUUUAAUGUACUUAAACCAUAUUACUGUUUAGCGCUUUUGUGUUUAUGGUACGAAAUUACUAAAAAAAAAAAUCCAUUACAUAAUUUAUAAUGAAAGCAUUCAAUAUGACAUUUAUUUUGACAUUCUAUUUCCGGUUGUUUUUCUGUUUUUUUUUAAUGAGAAAUUACGGUUUGCACAUUGGUAGGACUGAACCAUUUCAUGCUGGGUUGAGGGUUUAGGCUAUAUCUUUUAUUUUAGCUAAAAUAAAUUAACAGACACAUAUAUAUUUACUUCUGAAAAUUAUAAAACAUUGUAAUAGUACUAAACAUUGUUAUCAGAUAAUUAAUGUCCAGUUUCACAUUAUUGUACAACACGGUUCAUCGUAAUGAUCCAGCCCACCUUCCUGUACCGCGCUCUGAUUGGUUGAACGGAACUUUUCGAAUCUCGCCAGUAGCCUAUAUAGGUUCCCCGUAAGCUAACUGUCGUUCUUGCUAGCACAACAACAGAGAGAGAGAUACGGAGCUGUUUUUGUGUACGCAAACCCUGAGAGAUAUUGAGAGAUAUUGAGAGAGAGUUGGAGAGAGUUGGAGAGAGUUGGAGAGAUACUGAGAGAGAGUUGGAGAGAGAGAUAUAUAUAUAUAAAUAUAUAUAUAUCUAUACAUACACACACACAUUCAUUCACUUUGGAAGCAGAGGAUUUGCCUUCUACGGUGAGUUUAAUUUUAACAAUUACAAUCUGUAUUAUUGAUAAUAAUGUAUGUUUAUGUUAAUGAAUAUGAUGCAUUGCUGAACAAAGCACUAACAGUAAAUAAAAUACCGUAAAACUUAUAAUAAUUGUCCGGCGUGUAUUUGCUUAAAACACUGAAUUGGGGACCUGCGUUUAUUUCCUUUAGCACAAACUGUUGCUCAGCACAUAUGGAAAUAUUCUCUAACUGUACUGUUUCUCUUCAGUUUCGUAUGGUAAUAGUAACUUACGGUACAUUUUAGCUCUACUGCUGGUUUAUAUGCGCCGCAGCCAUGACAGUGAACGUGAACGCCGCUUUACGUCAGCUGCAUAUUUACGUCAUCCGGCCGGCGUACAGACAGUAAACAGACCGUGAGUGACGGACUAUACAUGAUGAUAUUAAUGUAAGGAAACCUUUUGUAGUGAUACAUGGACUCUUAAUGGAGGAACGGACACAGACCGUACAGACUUUAUUCCCGCUUUAGAGUUGUUUACCGUCUCUGUUGUUUACCGUGUUAAGUCCGAAUGAAUCAACGUUAUAACGUUACUUUGGUGUUUAUAGUUUCCGUAAAAUGAAGUGAGCGAUUGAAUUGUGGAGACUCUAUAACUGAUGAUCUAAUGAUGUGCAUUAUGUAUAUAUUGACUGAAGUUUAAACAUUUAUAUUUGUGUAGGACAUUGAAACGGUUUAAAACCCUCUGAAGCUCUGAGUCUGUGCGUUUUACUACAUCCGGAUCAUUUCAUUCAUCAUUGCAGACCUGCGUUAUUAUUAUUAUUAUUAUUAUUAUUAUUAUUAUUAUAAUUAUUAUUAACUAUGCCUUUUACUGGUCCAGCUCAUUUAAGGUCAAAUUGGGUUGUAUGUGGCCCCUGAACCAAAAUGAGUUUGACACCCCUGCCUUAAAGUGUCUCGUGAGUGUGAUUAAAACUCAUUAUAAU